GACGAACGCUGGCGGCGUGCUUAACACAUGCAAGUCGAACGGAAAGGCCCUGCUUUUGUGGGGUGCUCGAGUGGCGAACGGGUGAGUAACACGUGAGUAACCUGCCCUUGACUUUGGGAUAACUUCAGGAAACUGGGGCUAAUACCGGAUAGGAGCUCCUGCUGCAUGGGGGGGGUUGGAAAGUGUCGGCGGUUGGGGAUGGACUCGCGGCUUAUCAGCUUGUUGGUGGGGUAGUGGCUUACCAAGGCUUUGACGGGUAGCCGGCCUGAGAGGGUGACCGGCCACAUUGGGACUGAGAGACGGCCCAGACUCCUACGGGAGGCAGCAGUGGGGAAUAUUGCACAAUGGGCGGAAGCCUGAUGCAGCAACGCCGCGUGCGGGAUGACGGCCUUCGGGUUGUAAACCGCUUUCGCCGGUGACGAAGCGUGAGUGACGGUAAUGGGUAAAGAAGCACCGGCUAACUACGUG
rnacentral:rRNA from 1 species